GCCCCCUCUUCUCUUCCUAAGUCACACCUACACUUAUUACUACUUGCCAAUCUCCUUUUCUCUUCCUCUCUCUCCGGGUCCUGAUGGAGUUGGGGUUCAGAGCCGCUUCUUCCUUUACAACCUGGACCAGCUUCCUUGCCUAGAUUCCCAGUGGAGCUGGCUUCUGGGCCUCAAGCAUCCUCUCAGCUUUCUGUACAGAAUGAGGCUCCCAGCUUCCCAACGUCCGUUCUUUUGACUCCUCUUGGCUCUCUCCCUCCUGCCUGUAGUGGCUCCAGCGUGAGUCUGGCCUCAGCCGCCUCAGCACCUGCUUCUCAUUUCAGACGAGGGACAACUGUGCCUCUCUGGAGACGAGGAUGGGGGCAGCUCAGCAAACUGCCUGUGCCAGUGUCCUGGCGCCAACAUGGCUGCUAUGGAGGCCUGGGGACGAUGGGCGGGCCAGCAGGGUCCAUGGAGGGGCAGGCCAGCAGUAUCAGUUCAGCACUGUGCUCAGUGCUCCCUGCCCGGGUCAGAAUAGGGUUGUCCUCCUGGGGGUAGUGUCCAGCCGCCGACUUGCCCAGCCCUCUGAUUUCUCAUCUCAAGCAGAAAUGGGAUCUUCUCAGACUCGGAAUCUGGCCAAAGUGCCUCAUGGGACCUGGUGACACUGGGGUCCACAAGUUGGUCCGGGCCUCUCACUGCAUGGAUGAAGGUGAGUCCCCCCCACCCCCACCCCAGGUGCCGCCCUCGGCUCAUUCUAGCGCUCGCAAAGCUGCAGAGUCCGCUCCCGAGGCCUGAAGACGCCCGCCAGGGGACAGAAGAGCUCCUGGGAGCCCAUCAGCCACAUUCGCUCAGGUUAUGGGCUGGACUCCCAACAGCUGCUUUGUCUUUGCCACCAGGGUUAUCGCUGGGGCUCGGUCGGUACCGGCGCUACAACCCCUGGCUCCCAGCAGCCAC